AGAAGACAUUUGAGCAGCUUCACAAGAAAUGUCUAGAAAAGAAAGUUCUUUAUGUGGACCCUGAAUUCCCACCGGAUGAGACCUCUCUCUUUUAUAGCCAGAAGUUCCCCAUCCAGUUCAUCUGGAAGAGACCUCCGAUGGAGUUUCUCUCUUGUUGCCUAGGCUGGAGUACAAUGGCACAAUCUCAGCUCACUGCAAUCUUCACCUCCCAGGUUCAAGGAAUUCUCCUACCUCAGCCUCCCAAGUAACUGGGAUUGCAGGCAUGCACGAUCAUGCCCAGCUAAUUUUGUAUUUUUAGUAGAGAUCGGGUUUCACAUGUUGGUCAGGCUAGUCUCAACCUCUUGACCUCAGGUGACCUGCCCAACUCGGCCUCCCAAAGUGCUGGGAUUACAGGUGUGAGCCACAGUGCCUUGCCUGCCUUGAACAUCUUUGGUCAGAUUUAUUCCUAGGCAUCUUUUAACAACAACAAAAAAAGUUAAAACAAAAGUGAUUUUUGUUAGUGGCAUCUUUCUUAAACCUGUACUCAAUUUCUCAGGCAUAAACAUGCAUUUGACUCUUUUAUGCAACAAAUUUGCUAAACUAAUAGUAAUUCUAGUAAUUUCUUUUCUUUUUUCUUUUUUUGAGAGGGAGUCUUGCUCUGUCACCAGGCUGGAGUGCUCACUGUAACCCCCACCUCCCAGGUUCAAGCAAUACUCCUGCCUCAACCUCCUGAGUAGCUGAGAUUACAGAUGCCUGGCACCAUACCUAGCUAAGUUUUGUAUUUUCAGUAGAGCUAGGAUUUCACCAUGUUGUCCAGGCUGGUCUCAAAGUCCUGACCUCAAGUGAUCUGCCCACCUCAGCCUCCUAAAGUGCUGGUAUUACAGGCAUGAGCCACCAAGACCAGCUGUAAUUCUAGUAAUUUGAUUGUAGAUCUGAAGUUCUUUAUCUGUAUGUCGAUUCUAUAUUGUUAGAGAGAGAGAGACAGAGAGAGAGAGAGAGAGAGAGAGAGAAUUUACAAAUAAUGACAAGGCUGCCAAGUACCUUAUGCAGUAGCCUCAUUCUUGUUCUAUUGUACUGGCUAAACCCUUCAGCAUAUUGUUACAUAAGAAAAUAGCCAUGUCUGCACUAGCUCCGGGGCAAGAUGGAGGCGCUGAUUUUGGAACCUUCCCUGUAUACUGCCAAAGCCAUCCUGAUUCUGGACAAUGAUGGAGAUCGACUUUUUGCGAAGUACUAUGACGACACCUACCCCAGUGUCAAGGAGCAAAAGACCUUUGAGAAGAACAUCUUCAACAAGACCCAUCAGACUGACAGUGAAAUUGCACUCUUGGAAGGCCUGACAGUGGUAUACAAAAGCAGUAUAGAUCUCUAUUUCUAUGUGAUUGGCAGCUCCUAUGAAAAUGAGCUGAUGCUUAUGGCUGUUCUAAACUGCCUCUUUGACUCAUUGAGCCAGAUGCGGAGGAAAAAUGUAGAAAAGUGAGCACUACUGGAGAACAUGGAGGGGCUGUUCUUGGCUAUGGAUGAAAUUGUAGAUGGAGGGGUGAUCCUAGAGAGUGAUCCCCAGCAGGUGGUACACCGGGUGGCAUUAAGGGGUGAAGAUGUCCCCCUUACGGAGCAGACCAUGUCUCAGGUGCUGCAGUCAGCCAAAGAACAGAUCAAGUGGUUGCUCCUUCGGUGAAGACCCCACUGUUCCUGGUUCUUCAUCCUCUUCGAAAAAUUCACAUGUCUACUGUGAAUUUUCAUCUAGUUCCCCAACUGAUGCUCUCAGGGUCAUCUUGGGGAUCAUAGAGAUUCUUAAAUCUCCAUCCUGUUUGUGGUUGCCCCCUCCACCCUCCCCUACACCCUUCCUUUUCCUUCUCAUUAUUUUUGCAGUUCUGGGAGUAAAGUUCCCAGCAUAUUUAGAUACAGGGCAGGGGAGGCACCCUCUUCCUAUUUAGACUCAAUUAUGCUCACAUGCUCCCCUGCCCCGACAUUUUUGUAAAUUCUGUGCCCUUUGCUGUAGCUACACUUCAGAUUAAAGUAGGAGAAAGAAUGUGCUGAGUGUUUUCCUCCCUUUGCCUUUACCUGGUCCUCAUUCUGACAACCCAGAAAGGGGAGGGAGAAGGAAUUCCUUUCUAUAGAAUGUGUUGGGGUGGGGAUGGGUAGAGAUGUAUCCAAUGCAAGCCCUAGCCCCACUUACUGACCUCAGUGUUUUCUUUUAUUCCUUCUUACUGCCCUGUCCUCUGCCUUGGAAAUGGCCUUAGGAAUAGCUCAUAGGGAAGGGACAACAUGGAAGAAACAGUGAUUUAAAUUGUAUUGAAUAGGUCAUAUAAAAUGUAUUCUCUACUCUGAUCCUGGCAUAUAGCUUCAAAACUGCUAUGGUGAGUGUCCAUCUCUUGGAUAGCUACCAUAACUCUCCACCCUUACUACAUGUGGGAUCGCCUGGUUUGUCUUCUCUGUGUCCUGGAGCAAAGCCACUUCCUAAAACUAAAACUCCAUUGUAGUCUUGGGAAGAAGAGUUUCUGCUCAGAACUGGGGAAGGAGUGGAGCUUAUGACUUGGUCCUCUAGGCUAUCUCUGUCCCCUCAGCUCCCCUAUGUGUGUUUACUCCUCUGCCUUGGGUUUGCAGUCGCUGCUUAACCCUAUCAUCUCUCUGUCUCAGCCUUACACUGAAGCAAUAGCUCUGUGCUCUCCCUAUCUCUAGGUCACUGAGAGGGGUACUCUCAUAAAACUUUUGGCAUUUGGAUUUCCCCAGGAAGAUGGAGAGUGGAAUACUCACUCUUGGGUCUAAUCUUUCCUCUUGACCCAGAACUUCCUCCCCACAAAAAUGUCUUUAAAAACCUUCCUGAGAGUUAAGCAUUCUGCCCCACCAGUUCUCCAACACUGACGUGGGGCAGAUAGCUGGGCAUAUUUGAGGGAGCAUUUUUGUGUAAAAGAUGCAUGGAGCCAGGAGAUAGCCACCUUCAUAAACUGCUCUGUGCAAAGAGGAAUAAAACAUUUUUUCCAAA